rfam:Paenibacillus sp. MAEPY2 contig17, whole genome shotgun sequence.
AGCACCUUUAAAUCAGUCCCGUGAGACUGGCAAGGUAACGUGAACGAUACAUCGUCUUUUUGCUGCGGCAAAUGAAGCGAUGCAUCCCGAGAGUAAACUUUCUUCAGAGCGGUCUGAAGUUCGGAGACUCCUUGCCAAUAAACACGGCAAGGAGUCUUUUUUGU